CAAAGAACAUCUGACUGUACAUGAAUCAUUACAUAUCAGAUCAGGCAUUAGAAUUAACAGUUACUUACAUGUUGUUGCAUUACUGUUGAGUCCAUAUCAUAAAAGUCUGUUUGCAAAGCCUGCUUCGAAAUGCAAUUGAUUUACCAAAGAAUACACAGUGAAAUGUACCGAAUACAAAUAAAUAAUGCUCAACUGAGACAUUCACAUGGUUGUAAAAUAAAUAACCAUAUUCCUAGCAUAAGGAUCCUUUGAAAGGUAAUGUUAUUUUUAGUCCUGUAUCGCUCUUCUCUCCUCGUCAUCUCACAAACAUGCCAGUGGGCAGGGCUAAUGUUGCAAUGAUGAAGUAGGCGUUGAUUUCUUCUGCGGAGGCGGCGUUUCACCUAUAGGCGCAUUCCAGGAUCAGUUGUUCACUGGGCCUGGUGUCAAUAAAAGGUUUUAUUGGACUAACAAGGAAGUUUUCAGUUCUGAAACUUACAAGAUAUUCUUAUAGUACGAUGACCUCUUAUAUAUCAAAAGCUCAAGAAAAAGUUGAUUUCUCAAUUCAUGACCCCUUUAAGGAAUGACCACAGAGAGAUAAAUAAAAGAAAUCAUGAAUUAAAGGUCUUGUUCUUUCAAAUGCCAUAUGCCACUGCUAUUUUUCAAAUAAAAGAAGGUACACAAAUAUAUGGGAGAAAAAAACUUGUGUUUUUAUAUUAUUUGUGUGGAUAACAGCUGUCAGGUUGGCGAAUGGCAGCGACUCCUGUUCUGGACGAGUGGAGGUUCUCUAUAAUGGAAUAUGGGGAACAGUGUGUGAUGAUAGCUGGGAUCUGACAGAUGCUGCAGUGGUGUGUAGAGAGAUGGGCUGUGGGAAUGCUACAGAGGCUAAAAAAGGUGCUUUUUUUGGGAUCGGCUCAGGACCAAUAUGGAUGAAUGAUGUAAAUUGUUAUGGGAAUGAGCUUACUCUAAAGAUAUGUAGAUCACCUGGACAGGACGUACAGAACUAUAGUCAUAAAAAUGCUGGUGUCAUCUGCCAAUAUGGCAAUUUGUCUUCAACAACUGCAAUAACAAACUCAACAACAGAAGAGAAGUCUACAGCUGCUGUCACCAGUUCUCUAAGAAACAACUCUUAUCACUUUACCUAUAUCAGCGAUUCAAAAAGCUGGAUUGACGCACUGGGAUACUGCAAAACUCACCACCAGACUUUGGUGCACAUUUUAAAUGCCACGGCACAACAGUACAUCACACAGAUGCUGAAGGGUAAAGAAAUCCCCAAUGGAGUGUGGAUCGGGCUUGAACGGAGUAUGCUCUUCACUUGUUCGCCCUGGCUGUGGACCGGUGGGCCGUAUGUGGACUAUGCACCAUGGCAUCAAACGUAUCCAGUGGACAGAGGGAGCAGGUUUUGUGGAAAACUUCUUAAGGACAAAGAGAACGUGUUUGGAUGGGUGGAUGCUUGCUGCCAUGAGCACCUUCCUUUCUUUUGUCAGGGAUGAAACACUAGGCGGAGCUGUUUCCUAGUUUGGAGUCGGUUGGUGAUGAUCACAGAAAGUCAUGAUGUUUUGAUAAACAAUUUUUGUUUUGUUUCUAAACAAUUUACAGUAAUAUGCAGCCCUGUGGUGUGGACUUGCAUUUGCAUUACAAAAUUAUCAAUUUCUCUGUUUGUAUUAGCUCUUAAAUCUUUAAUAAUGCAUGUAAUGAUUUUAAAACCAGCCUUUCUGCAUAGCUGAUGGAAAGCUGCCUAUAUGCUAAAUAUAUUUUAGAUUCCAUGUGAAAAUGUGAAUCUUCUUUCUUUGUUUUGUCAUAGUUUAUACUGAGAUGAUCUAUAUGACUAAUGAACUUUAUUAAAGUAAAUGUUAUGUGUGCCUAUGGUUUGAGGUUUAGUUGAGAUUCUUAUUUAUUUUCCUUAAUUUACCAUUUAAAUGUUUUUAAUUGCAGUCAGAUUUUAGUGUCAUGCAUAAUUCAUAACUAGUAAUUAAUUUAAAUAAUGUUUUUGAAAUGUUUCUCUAAAGAUUUUUGAUUACUAUCAA